UGGGGAAUUUUGGACAAUGGGCGAAAGCCUGAUCCAGCAACGCCGCGUGCAGGAUGAAGGCCUUCGGGUUGUAAACUGCUUUUGUACGGAACGAAAAAGCUUCUCCUAAUACGAGAGGCCCAUGACGGUACCGUAAGAAUAAGCACCGGCUAACUACGUGCCAGCAGCCGCGGUAAUACGUAGGGUGCGAGCGUUAAUCGGAAUUACUGGGCGUAAAGCGUGCGCAGGCGGUUAUGUAAGACAGAUGUGAAAUCCCCGGGCUCAACCUGGGAACUGCAUUUGUGACUGCAUGGCUAGAGUACGGUAGAGGGGGAUGGAAUUCCGCGUGUAGCAGUGAAAUGCGUAGAUAUGCGGAGGAACGCCGAUGGCGAAGGCAAUCCCCUGGACCUGUACUGACGCUCAUGCACGAAAGCGUGGGGAGCAAACA
rnacentral:rRNA from 1 species